rnacentral:rRNA from 1 species
ACUCCAUGAAGUCGGAAUCGCUAGUAAUCGCGGAUCAGAAUGCCGCGGUGAAUACGUUCCCGGGCCUUGUACACACCGCCCGUCACACCAUGGGAGUUUGUUGCACCAGAAGUAGGUAGUCUAACCGCAAGGAGGACGCUUACCACGGUGUGGCCGAUGACUGGGGUGAAGUCGUAACAAGGUAGCCGUAGGGGAACCUGCGGCUGGAUCACCUCCUUAA